AAGAGGGGACCAUAAAGAGAUUAAUCGCGCAUGCGUAGUCUUUGUCCUCAACUUCUCUCGAAGAAGGCGCAUGCGUUCACCAAGAUGGCGGAUGAAUUCUCACUCUCCAGUGGGCAAAGCUCUUUCAAAGCUGCGCCAUAUUAAAAAGCACUGAAGAAAUAAAUUAUGGGUAAUGGAGAAGACGCGAGUGCCUUUGACGUUUGCGAACCAUAUUGAAAGACAUUUGGAAAAGUUUUGUUGUCAAAGAAAGGUA